UACAGAGGGUGCAAGCGUUGCUCGGAAUUAUUGGGCGUAAAGGGUAGGUAGGUGGUCUCAUUUGUCUGGGGUGAAAGCCUUGAGCUUAACUCAAGAAGUGCCCUGGAAACGGUGAGACUAGAGUUCUGGAGAGGGUCGUGGAAUUCCUGGUGUAGCGGUGAAAUGCGCAGAUAUCAGGAGGAACACCGAUUGCGAAGGCAGCUCGCUGGAACGUUACUGACGCUGAGACGCGAAAGCGUGGGGAGCAAACAGG
rnacentral:rRNA from 1 species